rnacentral:lncRNA from 1 species
AUUGGCAAUAAACGAGUCAUCUAAAUACACAGUAUAAAAAAUAUCAUAAAAAUUAAUAAAAUCUAUUAUAAGUGAAAUUGAGAAAGGAAAUGGGGAAUGUGUCAAAGCGACAACAACCCGACCAUAGAGUAGACAACAGCCGAAGGCCACCAAUGGGUCUUCAAUGUAGCGAGAAACUCCCGCACCGGAGGCGUCCUUCAGCUGGCCCCUUAAAAAAUAUGUAUACUAGUACAGUGAUAAUGGACGUCAUACUAAACUUCGAAUUAUACACAAAAAACUAAAAUUAAAAAUCAUACAAGACUAACAAAGGCCAGUGGCUCCUGACUUGGGACAGGCGCAAAAUUGCGGCGGGGUUAAACAUGUUAAUGAGAUCUCAACCCUCCCUUAUACCUCUAGCCAAUGUAGAAAAGUAAACGCAUAACAAUACACAC